AACGAACGCUGGCGGCAUGCCUAACACAUGCAAGUCGAGCGAGCACUCCGGGUGUAGCGGCGCACGAGGGCGUAGCGAGGGGGGGCAUCCCGCUCUUCUCGGCAUAACACCCCGAAAGAGGUGGUACUACCGCCUAAUACGUUCGAACGCAGGAUAGGUUGUCUGCCGAAGGGUCGGCCCGCGUUUGAUUAGCUGGUUGGUAAGGUAACAACCCACCAAGGCGACGAUCCAUAGCUGGUCUGAGAGGAUGAUCAGCCACACUGGGACUGAGACACGGCCCAGACUCCUACGGGAGGCAGCAGUGGGGAAUAUUGGACAAUGGGCGAAAGCCUGAUCCAGCAAUGCCGCGUGAGUGAUGAAGGCCUUAGGGUUGUAAAGCUCUUUUACCCGGGAUGAUAAUGACAGUACCGGGAGAAUAAGCUCCGGCUAACUCCGUG
rnacentral:rRNA from 1 species